GGCGGGCGAGGCUACCUGCAGUCGAACGGUAGCACAGAAAACUUGGUCUUGCGUGACAAGAGGGGGACGGGUGAGUAAUGUCUGGGAAACUGCCCCAUGGAGGGGGAUAACUACUGGAAACGGGAGCUAAUACCGCAUAACGUCUUCUGACCCAAGUGGGGGACCUUCGGGCCUCUCACCCUCGGAUGUGCCCCCAUGGGAUUAUCUAUAAGGUGGGGUAAUGGGUCUCCCAUGCGACAAUCCCCAUCUGGGCUGAGAGGAUGACCCCCCCCACUGGAACUGAGACACGGGCCCCACUCCUACGGGAGGGAGCAGUGGGGAAUAUUGCGCAAUGGGCGCAAGCCUGAUGCACCCAUGCCGCGUGUAUGAAAAAAGCCUUCGGGUUGUAAAGUACUUUUUCCGGGGAGGAAAGGGUGAGAGUGAAUAUCUCUCUCCAUUGACGUUACCCCCACAAAAAACACCGGGUAACUCCGUGCCCCCAGCCGCGGGAAUACGGAGGGGGCGAGCGUUAAUCGGAAUUACUGGGCGUAAAGCGCACGCAGGCGGGCUGUCAAGUCACAUGUGAAAUCCCCGGGCUUAACCUGGGAACUGUGUUUGUAACUGGGAGGCUUGAGUCUCGUAGAGAGGGGUAGAAUUCCAGGUGUAUCGGUGAAAUGCGUAUAGAUCUGGAGGAAUACCGGUGGCGAAAGCGGGCCCCUGGACGAAAACUGACGCUCACGUGCGAAAGCGUGUGGAGAAAACAGGGAUUAUAUACCCUGGGAGACCACGCUGUAAACGAUGUCGACUUGUGAGGUGUGUCCUUGAGGCGUGGGCUUUCCGCGAGCUAUCGCGCUUAAGAUCGACACGCCCCUGUGGGGAGUACAGCGCCGCGACGGGGUUAUAAAACAUCUAAAAUGGUAAAAUGA
rnacentral:rRNA from 1 species